rnacentral:rRNA from 1 species
CGCCUCUUGAACCCUUAUAAGAGGUCCAGCCUGCCCAGUGACUCUGUUCAACGGCCGCGGUAUCCUAACCGUGCGAAGGUAGCGUAAUCACUUGUUCUUUAAAUGUGGACUAGUAUGAAUGGCAUCACGAAGGUUAUACUGUCUCCUUUUUCUAAUCAGUGAAACUAAUCUCCCCGUGAAGAAGCGAGGAUAAAACUAUAAGACGAGAAGACCCUAUGGAGCUUUAAACAUUUAUAACACUUGCUAAAUAAAAUACAAAUUUCAGAAUUAUUUACUCUUUAAGCAACUUGUCUAUAAGUUUUUGGUUGGGGUGACCGCGGAGCAUAAUACAACCUCCAUGUUGAAAGAUCUAUUUCUAAGCUAAGAGCUACACCUCUAAGCAUCAACAUAUUGACAUCCAUUGACCCAAUAUAUUUGAACAACGAACCAAGUUACCCUAGGGAUAACAGCGCAAUCCACUUCAAGAGCUCCUAUCGACAAGUGGGUUUACGACCUCGAUGUUGGAUCAGGGUUNCCCAGUGGUGCAGCCGCUACUAAAG